UACGGAGGGUGCAAGCGUUAUCCGGAUUCACUGGGUUUAAAGCGUGCGUAGGAGGGCAGGUAAGUCAGUGGUGAAAUCUCCAAGCUUAACUUGGAAACUGCCGUUGAUACUAUCUGUCUUGAAUACCGUGGAGGUGAGCGGAAUAUGUCAUGUAGCGGUGAAAUGCUUAGAUAUGACAUAGAACACCAAUUGCGAAGGCAGCUCGCUACACGAAUAUUGACUCUGAGGCACGAAAGCGUGGGGAUCAAACAGG
rnacentral:rRNA from 1 species